AUGGAUUGCAUUCUAUCUGUGAUAAGAUACAAGAUGUCAAACAGAGCCACACAUUGGUGUUAUGCCUGCCGUCGGCCAAUUCGUCUUCGUGGCCAAGAGAUAAUCUGCCCGAAUUGCAAUGAUGGCUUCAUACAAGAGAUCAGUGAGAUAGGAGGCGCUUUGAACAACUACGGUAUGUUUGGGCCACGCUUCGAUGAUCGCCUAGAUGGACGAUUUGGAAUGAUGGAUGCUAUGUCUGCCCUCAUGCGUCGACGGAUGGCAGAAAUGAGCAGCAAUCCUGUGUUUGAUCCUAAUGCAGCUUGGGCAAGUACCACACAAGGAAGGCCGUCCCCGAUUGGCCCUAGGCUGAUAUUCGGCAGCAACAUGCCUGCUCAGGGGAGCGAGGACAGCGGAGUAAACGUGCUUGUCAGGGGAGGCCGCAGAAUCGGCGCUGACCGUCCAAACUUCAGCGGCUUCCUUGUCGGUGGCCCCAGCCUCGAAGCUCUGUUCGAGCAGCUGCUACUGCAGACCGGCAACCGUCAAGGGCCGGCGCCGGCUCCACAGUCUGCAAUCGACUCCAUGCCGGUGGUGAGGAUAACCCGCAGGCAUCUGAGCGAUGAUCCAGUCUGCCCAGUCUGUACGGACAGAUUUGAAGUUGGCUCGGAGGCGAGGGAGAUGCCGUGCAAGCACCUGUACCAUGCCAGCUGCAUCAUCCCCUGGUUGGUUCAGCACAACUCCUGCCCAGUUUGCCGCCACCCGCUGCCGCCGCAGCGAGGAUCAGACAACAAUGCAGCCCGCCCACAACCUUCGGCCCACGCCAGCGAAGCCGUGAACCGUGGGGUCACCGGUGCCGGAGCCGACCCUGGGCCUGUCACGAGGAACGGCGGCGACGACAGAGGGAGCCCUUUCUCGUUCCUCUGGCCGUUUGGGUCGUCGAGCCCCGGUCCCAGUUCUUACCAGUACGGAGGAGGCGGGGGUGAGCCUGCGCCUGCGGUUUACAACGACGACCCUGGCCAGAUAACCUACUCUGAGUGGCACUAUGAUCCGUGA
rnacentral:rRNA from 1 species